rnacentral:lncRNA from 1 species
CGGCUGUGGCGGUGGUGAAGUAACCCCGGCGCCUCGGCAGGUGAGGCGAAGGGGGGUGGGAGCUCUGGCGCCGGCGACGCGUGCGCCGCGAGGCGGGCGGUGAACAGUGGACUAAUUAUUUGGUCGGCGUCGUGGAUCUGGACCUGAAAGAGGAUGGAUCGACCGAGGUGAGCGCAAUGGCCGCUGCAACGAACGAGCUACGGGUCGACCCCGUGCCGGCGGCUUCAUACAAGGAGAUGGAAGCAGGGCAAGGGGUGGUUGUACAUGGACCUAGGUCGCACACGAUGGAUCUGCGGCACCGCAGUGGCGGAUUAAGGAGACCCUGGCGGCUUGG